UGUAUAUCUCAUAUUUAAGCAAAUCUGUUCAGUACUUAUUAGUCAGGUCUCAAAUGUUAUGUUUUUAUAUAAUACUCGAUAGCCCACAAUAAGCAUAAUUGAAUUGAAGUGUUUUAUUCUGUCAAGCUGAAAUUUUCUCUCUGCCCUGUGCGGUGUACUCUCUUGACUAAUCCAACAAUGCUAUAGUUAUUCACACUCGUUGGAAUGGCUUGGAGAAGCCAAGAGCUAUGGAGACAAGGUGAGAUUGUGUUGGGAACUAUGAUGGAUGGUUGUCGAUUCUACAGAACAAAACCUAAGGUGGUGGACUUGAAGAAGCUGAGACCGAUGAUUCUGAAGAGGAUUGAGAACCGAGCCAAGGAUUAUCCAGUGAAGGACAUGGUCCCUGUGGCUCGGGAGGUCCUCAAGGCCAAAGCUGCGCUCUAUCAUGGAGUAUCCACCCUACUCCAACAUUUACCUGUGUGGAUAUGCAAAUACUGUCCAGAAGUGUAUGUUGGAGAAAAUGGUCAUUUAAUUCGGACCUGUGGUGGUUAUAGGCACCGUACAAAGAAUCAACUUCAUGUAUGGAUCAAAGGAAGCUUGGAUAGUAUUCUAAUUCCUGUAGAAACGUUUCAUCUGCACAAUAUGUUUCAAAAUGUCAUCAAACACCAUGAAAGAUUUGAUUACAGUCGAAUUUCAGCUGUUGUAGAGUUGUGCUUACAGGCAGGUGCUAAUCCAAAUGAUGAAAGCAUAGACGCAAGCAAAAUGGAACAUGAAAGCAAUUCCAAAAUUGUGCUUCCAUUCGAUCAGCAAAUGCGGUUACUAGGGAACGAAACAUUAAAUGCAUGGGAAACACUUAGAUCUGGAGUGCAUAAGCUGCUGUUGGUUUAUCCAGUAAAGGUCUGCAAACACUGCUCAGAAGUUCAUGUGGGACCUUCUGGGCAUAAAGCUCGGCUUUGUGGGGUAUUUAAGUAUGAAAGUUGGCGUCGAAUUCACUUCUGGGAGAAGGCAAGCGUGGAUGAUUUGGUUCCUCCAAAUAUAGUUUGGCACAGGAGACCUCAAGAUCCUCCAUUGCUACUCGAUGAAGGCCGGAACUACUAUGGGCACGCUCCAGCUGUUGUUGAUCUGUGCACCAAGGCUGGUGCAAUUGCACCAUCCAAAUAUUUUUGCAUGAUGAAAGUUGAUGGUUUAUCAGCCCCUAUUUCGGACAAACCUUAAUGCCAUAUUGCCAUCAUCAUUUACUGGAGUCAUGUGGCGAGUUGGUUCGAAAUGUGCUAAAGAUCAUAUGUAUGGCCUUCAGAUUAUCCUGCAACACAAGGUCACUACCAAUAUAAUUAGCAUGAAGAACUACACAUUAUACACACGCACAAUGUAAUUUACUUGUGUGCUUUAAUGGCUGUUGAUGAUAUUCAAGAUGGCAAGGGAUUGGUUUCUGGGAAGCUUCUAUUGUCCUCCUCCGGGCUUCUCUCGGCUCUCAUCAGUACUCACAAGAAUUGGGUGUCCUGCUGAUAAAUUCUACUUUUAGAUUUGAAGAGUGCAAGGUAUAUAGAGCAAUGAGGGUGCCAGAUGUUUUUAGCAUAUAAGUAUUAUAUAUUUUUUUGAAAUUUGUUUCUAACCACCCCAGCAAAGAGUGACUAUCACCGUACACAAUGCUAUCCCAGCAGCUUCUAGCCAAUGGACAUCUCAUGAACAAAUGAAAGCAGAUUACAUAACUGACAUAAGGGUGGUACCUGAACACGCUUUGUCCUUAAAAGAUCAACAGUUGGGAGAGUGGCUGAACAAAGUUGCCUCCUCGGGGGUAGUCACACUUUUCAAAUCUGUUUCACAUCCUCUGGUAGAAAGAAAUCUUUCAGCAGAUCCAUCUCAUGUUCAGCAAGGCCUCCACUUUAGUGUCCCUUAGCCCUUAGGUAAUCUGCCAUGGGUGUUUGAACAAAAGGGAGAUCGUUAUUAGAAGCUCCAUCUCCUAUUCUCCAUCUAUACCCACUCUUCAGAACAUUCGGCACCUCAAGGAUGCUAUGCCAAAUAAAGGAUGGGUUUCCUCAUAAAUUAGCUUUAAAAAAAGAAUUUCUUGGAAAGUAUCUAGCUUUAUAAACUUUGGAUUAUCCUCCAUGCUUGUUUACCCAAUAAAGCCACAUUAAAAUCCCGAAUCCUUCUAUAACUCAUCCCACCCCAUUGUUUAGGAACACAUAGUGCUUCCCACCCUUUCCAUUUAAUGCCCCUACUCCUAUCACCCUCACAACCCCACCAAAAACCAUUCAUGGCCUGCUCAAUCUCUCUCCCCAUUUCCAAAGGAAUUAAGAAUACACUCAUAGCAUACGUUGGUAUGGCUUGGAUGACAUUUGUAAGAAGAAUUUCCCUCCCCGCUCUAGAAAUGAAUUUGUUUGUCCAACUUUUGAUUCUUCCCAACACUUUGUCCUUUAUAAAACCCAAUA